rnacentral:tRNA from 1 species
GCGGAAGUGGCGAAACUGGUAGACGCACUAGAUUUAGGUUCUAGCACUAUAAUAUAUAGUGUACGAGUUCGAUUCUCGUCUUCCGUA